GAGCAUGAGCCAGGGUGGCCCAGGGGCUCACAGGAAUUCCCCUUCUGCUCUGAGCCCACCAGAGCUGGCUAUACAAUGAUAACUUCACCCCCCUCGCCCCCCAUGGGCAGCACCUGCUCCCUGGGUCUCCCCUGGUGGCCCUAUUAUCCCGCACCUGCUGCUUCCCCACCUGCUCCCUAUUCUUAGCCCCCUCCCCAUAGCACACCCUGUUCAUCACUAGGCCCAGCUGCCUGCUCUGACAGCCAGCCAGGAAGGGGUAAUAGAACCAGGAGAGGUAGCAUGGAGGGCCCAAGGACAGAGGGUCCAGAGGCCAGUCCAGCUCUGUUUGACUAGUAGUGUGUAUGCUUACAAUGGACUCCAUCUCAGGGCCUCAGUCUCCCCACCUGUGAAGUAGGAACCGCAAGCCCUGACCUCAACUUUCUACAAAAACUUUACUGCUUGGAAGAUCUUAGGCCAUCGUGUUUCAAGAUCUGAGUUACAGAGGACAACCAGGAAAGAAGUGGACCAUGAGGACAAAGAGCGGGACAAGGGAGGGUGACGCAACCUUCACGUGCAUGAAGAUGCUAAUGGUUCAUAUUUUAUAUCCUGAAGAAAGAAAUCAAAAGAACUAAAACAAUCCCCAUAGUUAAAACAGAACAAAGCAGAAAAAAAGAAUCACUUCUGGGG
ensembl:lincRNA Gm29208 predicted gene 29208